rnacentral:siRNA from 1 species
GUGUCUUCACCUUCACUGCCAGA